AACGAACGCUGGCGGCAUGCCUAACACAUGCAAGUCGAACGAGACCUUCGGGUCUAGUGGCGCACGGGUGCGUAACGCGUGGGAACCUGCCCUUAGGUUCGGAAUAACUCCCCGAAAGGGGUGCUAAUACCGGAUAAUGUCUUCGGACCAAAGAUUUAUCGCCUUUGGAUGGGCCCGCGUUGGAUUAGCUAGUUGGUAGGGUAAAAGCCUACCAAGGCGACGAUCCAUAGCUGGUCUGAGAGGAUGAUCAGCCACACUGGGACUGAGACACGGCCCAGACUCCUACGGGAAGCAGCAGUGGGGAAUAUUGGACAAUGGGCGAAAGCCUGAUCCAGCAAUGCCGGGGGAGUGAUGAAGGCCUUAGGGUUGUAAAGCUCUUUUGCCCGGGAUGAUAAUGACGGUACCGGGAGAAUAAGCUCCGGCUAACUCCGUG
rnacentral:rRNA from 1 species